rnacentral:rRNA from 1 species
UACGAAGGGGGCUAGCGUUGCUCGGAAUCACUGGGCGUAAAGCGCACGUAGGCGGCUUACUAAGUCAGGGGUGAAAUCCUGGAGCUCAACUCCAGAACUGCCUUUGAUACUGGAGAUCUCGAGUCCGGGAGAGGUGAGUGGAACUGCGAGUGUAGAGGUGAAAUUCGUAGAUAUUCGCAAGAACACCAGUGGCGAAGGCAGCUCACUGGCCCGGUACUGACGCUGAGGUACGAAAGCGUGGGGAGCAAACAGG